AGAAUCAACGCUGGCGGCGUGCCUAACACAUGCAAGUCGAACGAGAAAGUGGAGCAAUCCAUGAGUAAAGUGGCGCACGGGUGAGUAACACGUGACUAACCUACCCUUGAGUGGGGAAUAACCUAGGGAAACCUGGGCUAAUACCGCAUAACACCUACGGGUCAAAGGAGCAAUUCGCUUAAGGAGGGGGUCGCGGCAGAUUAGCUAGUUGGCGGGGUAAUGGCCCACCAAGGCAGUGAUCUGUAUCCGGCCUGAGAGGGCGCACGGACACACUGGAACUGAAACACGGUCCAGACUCCUACGGGAGGCAGCAGUGGGGAAUUUUGCGCAAUGGGGGAAACCCUGACGCAGCAACGCCGCGUGGAGGAUGAAGUCCCUUGGGACGUAAACUCCUUUCGACCGGGAAGAUUAUGACGGUACCGGAAGAAGAAGCCCCGGCUAACUUCGCGCCAGCAGCCGC
rnacentral:rRNA from 1 species